GUACUUACUUCAACCGCACAUAUACUAAAUCAGAAUGAUACAGAGAACAUCAGCAUGGGCACUGGGCAAGGAUGACACCCAAAUUCGUAAACCAUUCCAUGCUUUU